CCUACGGGGGGCAGCAGUAGGGAAUAUUGCUCAAUGGGGGAAACCCUGAAGCAGCAACGCCGCGUGGAGGAUGAAGGUUUUCGGAUUGUAAAGUCCUUUUGUUAGAGAAGAUAAUGACGGUAUCUAAAGAAUAAGCACCGGCUAACUCCGUGCCAGCAGCCGCGGUAAUACGUAGGGUGCAAGCGUUACUCGGAUUCACUGGGCGUAAAGAGCGCGUAGGCGGGAUAGCAAGUCAGAUGUGAAAUCCUAUGGUUUAACCAUAGAACUGCAAUUGAUACUGGUAAUCUAGAGUAUGGGAGAGGUAGGUGGAAUUCUGGGUGUAGGGGUAAAAUCGGUAGAGAUCAAGAGGAAUACUCAUGGCGAAGGCGACCUGCUAGAACAUAACUGACGCUGAUGCGCGAAAGCGUGGGGAGCAAACAGGAUUAGAUACCCCAGUAGUC
rnacentral:rRNA from 1 species